rnacentral:rRNA from 1 species
GGGGAAUUUUGGACAAUGGGGGCAACCCUGAUCCAGCCAUUCCGCGUGAGUGAAGAAGGCCUUCGGGUUGUAAAGCUCUUUUGUCCGGAACGAAACGGAUACGUCUAAUACGCGUGUCUACUGACGGUACCGGAAGAAUAAGCACCGGCUAACUACGUGCCGGCAGCCGCGGUAAUACGUAGGGUGCGAGAGUUAAUCGGAAUUACUGGGCGUAAAGCGUGCGCAGGCGGUUAUGUAAGACAGAUGUGAAAUGCCCGGGCUUAACCUGGGAACUGCAUUUGCGACUGCAUGGCUAGAGUUUGGCAGAGGGGGGUAGAAUUCCACGUGUAGCAGUGAAAUGCGUAGAUAUGUGGAGGAAUACCGAUGGCGAAGGCAGCCCCCUGGGUCAAGACUGACGCUCAUGCACGAAAGCGUGGGGAGCAAAC